rnacentral:lncRNA from 1 species
CUCGCGUCUAUGGUUGGCCGGUGCCUCCGCGCGGGGCUCCUCCGCCCAUCCCUCCCUUCUUCUCUCCUUCCCUCCCUCCAGGUGUGCCAUCCCCCUCUCCAGGCCUCUCCUCCGUCCCUGUCUCCUCCCUACUCUUCCUCCAGGUGUGCCACCCCUCCCUCUCUCCUUCCCUCCCAUCAUUUUUUCCUCUCUCUCUCCAUCCGUCCCCUCAUGUCUUCCUUCCUGCCUCCAUCCCUUCCUCCCCUCAUCUCUUCCUUCCUCCCUCUCUCCCUUCCUCCCCUCAUCUCUUCCUCCCUCCCUCUCUCCCUUCCUCCCCUCAUCUCUUCCUUUCUCCCUCUCUCCCUUUGGCAGCACCUUGCCAACACCUUUCCCUUCCUCUUCUUCUUCCUCCUCCUCCCCCUGCACACACCCUGCUUCCCUCUGUCCAUCUCUCCAUCCCUUCAUCCUUCCCUUCCUCCAUACCUCCAUCAUUCCCUCAUCUAUUCCUCCCUUCUCCAUCCCUCUAUCCUUCUUUUCUCCAUCCUUCCCUUCUCCAUUYCUCCUUCCCUCUGUUCCUUUCUCCAUCCCCCUCUCCAGGUGCCCCAACCCUCCCCUUGGCCAUUUCUCUUUCCCUUUCUCUUUCUGCUCGUUUCUCUGUUUCUCUGUCCAUCCUUUUCCCCCAUCCUUUCCCUGUCUGCCUUUCUCCAUUGCACCCUCCCUCCACCUGUUUCUCCAUCCUGCUUUCCCAGUGCCCCAUUCCUCCCUCCAUUCUUCCCUCCUUCCSUUUGUUUUUUCCUCUUUUUCUUCAUCCCCCUUUCCUUCAGCCUUCCUUUUCUCUACCUUUCUUUCCUUUCAUCUCUUCCUCUCCAUCAGUCACUCUUUCUCUUCCCUUUAUCUUUUAUUUCCUUUAUCUGUUCCCACUCCCAUCUCUCCUUUCCUUGACUUUUUCCUCCCUCCCUCUCUCCCUCCUUCCCCCCGUCCCCCUCCCGCCGGGGGCAGCCGAGCGCGGGGUCACCCCGGGGCCGGGCGGCCGCGACCCAGCACCGGCCCCGAGACC